CCCGCCCUCCGCCUUCCCCGGGAUUCCGUGCUGUGCGGGCCGGGCGCUGGCGUUGGAUUGAGAUUCAUGGACUAUCUGCCAUGCCCCAAACACCAGGCAGAGUGCUAAGGGGACACAAAGAUGAAUAAGAUGUGACCCCUGCUCUCUAGGAUCCUGUCGCAUAGAUGAAGAGAUAGAACAUAUCCAUAAAAAGAUAACUAAUGACCGACAUUGCGUGCUGCCGACACGUGUUAUGGUCCUGCGGGCUACAGAAAUUCAGAGGAGGAAGACAGAUGACUGCAGUGUGGCAGCUGCUCCUCGGGCACUUACAGGAGCUUGUUAGGAUGAGGACAGAAGACUUCAUAGCACAGAGGGAACUGUGACACCAGCUUUAUAUCACACGAUAGAAAAUACCCAGUUCUGUGAGUUGACUGGGCAUUCUGCAUCACAAGGUGUGGCUGGGCACUGGAACAGCCGAAGUCACCUGGGAGCUGACUGGGUUGGACUGUCCAGGAUGGUUCACUCCUACGACAGUGGAUGCUCAACUGGGGCUGUCAACUGGAGCCCCCAUAGUGCCUUUGUGAACAUGGGGGUCCCCAAGUUUUCAGCGGGUGAAGCCAGCAGGCAACAGCUCACACUGGCAUUUUGUCAGUCGGGCACCUUUAUCUUGGCAUUUGGGCUUCCAUCCAGGCUGCCUCAGCUCUUUUGAAUGAACAUGGCCUGCAAAUAGUUCAUCCACAGAGCUGGCUUGGCAGGCGAAGGCUUCUCAGCCCAAGCAGGGGGCUCGAUCUGCCUGCUCUCCUUUCUGUGGCCUCGGAUCCAGCCCUCACUUCUUACCUCCACCAGAUUUGGAGUUUUCAGAGCUAACUGAGGCUUCGGGAAAAGUUCUGUGUUUGGACAAAGCUUUGCAAUAAGGCAGAUCUGGGUUUGAAUCAUCAAUUUAUUUAAUCCUGAAAACCUCAAUUUUAUCUGUAAA
rnacentral:lncRNA from 1 species